CCUACGGGUGGCAGCAGUGAGGAAUAUUGGUCAAUGGACGAGAGUCUGAACCAGCCAAGUCGCGUGAAGGAUGACUGCCCUAUGGGUUGUAAACUUCUUUUAUAUGGGAAUAAAACAGGGUAUGCAUACCCUCUUGUAUGUACCAUAUGAAUAAGGAUCGGCUAACUCCGUGCCAGCAGCCGCGGUAAUACGGAGGAUCCGAGCGUUAGCCGGAUUUGUUGGGUUUUAAGGGAGCGUAGGUGGAUUGUUAAGUCAGUUGUGAAAGUUUGCGGCUAAACCGUAAAAGUGCAGUUGAAACUGGGAGUCUUGCGUACAGUAGAGGGGGGUGGAAUUCGUGGUGUAGCGGUGAAAUGCUGAGAUAUCACGAAGAACUCCGAUGGCGAAGGCAGCUCACUGGACUGCAACUGACACUGAUGCUCGAAAGUGUGGGUAUCAAACAGGAUUAGAUACCCGGGUAGUC
rnacentral:rRNA from 1 species